rnacentral:rRNA from 1 species
ACAGAGGUCCCGAGCGUUGUUCGGAUUCAUUGGGCGUAAAGGGUGCGUAGGCGGCGGGGCAAGUCUGAUGUGAAAUCCCGGGGCUCAACCCCGGAACUGCAUUGGAUACUGCCUUGCUAGAGUACUGGAGAGGGAACUGGAAUUUACGGUGUAGCAGUGAAAUGCGUAGAGAUCGUAAGGAAGGCCAGUGGCGAAGGCGAGUUCCUGGACAGUUACUGACGCUGAGGCACGAAGGCCAGGGGAGCAAACGGGA